UACGAAGGGGGCUAGCGUUGUUCGGAAUUACUGGGCGUAAAGCGCACGUAGGCGGAUUAGUAAGUCAGGGGUGAAAUCCCGGGGCUCAACUUCGGAACUGCCUUUGAUACUGCUGAGCUCGAGUCCGGAAGAGGUGAGUGGAAUUCCUAGUGUAGAGGUGAAAUUCGUAGAUAUUAGGAAGAACACCAGUGGCGAAGGCGGCUCACUGGUCCGGUACUGACGCUGAGGUGCGAAAGCGUGGGGAGCUAACAGG
rnacentral:rRNA from 1 species